rnacentral:rRNA from 1 species
CAUAUCAAUAAGCGGAGGAAAAGAAACUAACAAGGAUUCCCCUAGUAACUGCGAGUGAAGCGGGAAAAGCUCAAAUUUAAAAUCUGUCAGUCUUUGGCUGUCCGAGUUGUAAUCUAGAGAAGUGUUAUCCGCGCUGGACCGUGUACAAGUCUCCUGGAAUGGAGCGUCAUAGAGGGUGAGAAUCCCGUCUUUGACACGGACUGCCAGGGCUUUGUGAUGCGCUCUCAAAGAGUCGAGUUGUUUGGGAAUGCAGCUCAAAAUGGGUGGUAAAUUCCAUCUAAAGCUAAAUAUUGGCGAGAGACCGAUAGCGAACAAGUACCGUGAGGGAAAGAUGAAAAGAACUUUGGAAAGAGAGUUAAACAGUACGUGAAAUUGCUGAAAGGGAAACGCUUGAAGUCAGUCGCGUUGUUCAGGGAUCAACCUUGCUUUUGCUUGGUGUAUUCUCUGGUUGACGGGUCAGCAUCAAUUUUGACUAUUGGAAAAAGAUUAAGGGAAUGUGGCAUCCUUGGAUGUGUUAUAGCCCUUGGUUGCAUACAAUGGUUGGGAUUGAGGAACUCAGCACGCCGAAAGGCCGGGUUUUAACCACGUACGUGCUUAGGAUGCUGGCAUAAUGGCUUUAAUCGACCCGUCUUGAAACACGGACCAAGGAGUCUAACAUGCCUGCGAGUGUUUGGGUGGAAAACCCGAGCGCGUAAUGAAAGUGAAAGUUGAGAUCCUUGUCAUGGGGAGCAUCGACGCCCGGACCAGACCUUUUGUGACGGUUCCGCGGUAGAGCAUGUAUGUUGGGACCCGAAAGAUGGUGAACUAUGCCUGAAUAGGGUGAAGCCAGAGGAAACUCUGGUGGAGGCUCGUAGCGAUUCUGACGUGCAAAUCGAUCGUCAAAUUUGGGUAUAGGGGCGAAAGACUAAUUCGA